rnacentral:rRNA from 1 species
AUUGAACGCUGGCGGCAUGCCUUACACAUGCAAGUCGAACGGUAACAGGUCUUCGGAUGCUGACGAGUGGCGAACGGGUGAGUAAUACAUCGGAACGUGCCCGAUCGUGGGGGAUAACGCAGCGAAAGCUGUGCUAAUACCGCAUACGAUCUACGGAUGAAAGCGGGGGACCGCAAGACCUCGCGCGGACGGAGCGGCCGAUGGCAGAUUAGGUAGUUGGUGGGAUAAGAGCUUACCAAGCCGACGAUCUGUAGCUGGUCUGAGAGGACGACCAGCCACACGGGGACUGGGCCACGGCCCAGACUCCUACGGGAGGCAGCAGUGGGGAAUUGGACAAUGGGCGCAAGCCUGAUCCAGCCAUGCCGCGUGCAGGAUGAAGGCCUUCGGGUUGUAAACUGCUAUUGUACGGAACGAAAAGACUCUGGUUAAUACCUGGGGUCCAUGACGGUACCGUAAGAAUAAGCACCGGCUAACUACGUGCCAGCCGCCGCGGUAACAC